AAAGCCCGCUCGCCGGAAGACCAAGGGUUCCUGUCCAACGUUAAUCGGGGCAGGGUGAGUCGACCCCUAAGGCGAGGCCGAAAGGCGUAGUCGAUGGGAAACGGGUUAAUAUUCCCGUACUUGGUGUUACUGCGAAGGGGGGACGGAGAAGGCUAUGUUGGCCGGGCGACGGUUGUCCCGGUUUAAGCGUGUAGGUGUGUGUUCCAGGUAAAUCCGGUUCACUUUAACACUGAGGCGUGACGACGAGGCACUACGGUGCUGAAGCAACAAAUGCCCUGCUUCCAGGAAAAGCCUCUAAGCAUCAGGUAACAUCAAAUCGUACCCCAAACCGACACAGGUGGUCAGGUAGAGAAUACCAAGGCGCUUGAGAGAACUCGGGUGAAGGAACUAGGCAAAAUGGUGCCGUAACUUCGGGAGAAGGCACGCUGACACGUAGGUGAAGUGAUUUACUCAUGGAGCUGAAGUCAGUCGAAGAUACCAGCUGGCUGCAACUGUUUAUUAAAA
rnacentral:rRNA from 1 species